ACCGCCCCGGGGACACCGCCACGGCCGGAUCGGUCCCCAGGGAGAAGGGAGGGGGAGCGGGGGAUCCCCAUGGCAGCUGCCGGGGCCACACGCUGACUCCGCUCCUGACGAUCCGCCCGGGCUUCAUGGAGCCACAGAACCACUCAUGGAUUGGGCUGGAAGGGAGCUUAAAGAGCAUCCAGCUCCAAGCCCCCUGCCAUGAUCAUGCUGUCUUUGCCCCUCUCCGCCUUUCCAGAGGAUCGCUAGGUUUGACUCCGUUUUCCGGCGGGGUUGGAAGAGGACAAGGACUCUUCCACAGGGUCUGCCAGCCUCAAGCAGCGCCCGCACUCCCCUCUGGCACCGGGAGGUUUUCCUGGAACAUCUUCCCACUGCACGGCUCCAUUAUCUCAGAUCCCUGAAGAUCUGGGAUACAGCACCUGAAACAACCAAAGUGUGAGGACAAGAUGUGAACUGCUCUAGAUCCUGCCGAGGCUGAGCCGAGUGUUUUCCUACUCAAAGCAGCCCUUUGAAACCCACCAGCCCCUGCUCUGGUCCCAGGUAAAACUCCAGCCUCUGCUUUUCCAGCCAAACAUCUCCUGAGUGGUUCCUUGGUAUUCCCAGGUGACUGGGAGCAGGGCUGGGUCAGGAAUAAUUUGUCCCUGCUCGUCUGAUUUCUCCCUCCUGUGCUGCCCCUGGGAGCUGCUGCUGACUCCCAGCAGUCUGGAGGAUGGAGAAGAGCGGCGCCAGGCCCUUCCCACAGCAGCCACAAAACCUGGAGAGCGGCUGGAUUCUCCCGAGAUCCCUCUGACAAGGUAUUGUUCCCAGCAAGUCACCACACCACGGAUCAAAUAAAGCAGUUUAUUUGGCAUAGACUGAACUGCAACAGAAAUUCCCGUGGAACAAAGCCUGGUUACACAAACUGAACGAGUGCAGUUAUGAGUCUCAGUUACACCUAACGACUAAACAAGGUAAAAAAAACACAUUUCAGAGUCUCCCAGUCUUGUCCUUUCCAUCCAGAGACACCGUGGCUCCCUGAUGUGUUGUACCUUUCUUUUUUAAAGAGAUGUCAGCACAAUUCCAGCUGUAGUUUUCACUUGCAAGGAACUUGGUUAGGAAAUCCAAAGAGAUUAAUCCACAGACUGCUCUUCCCAUGCUGUUUGUACUUCCAAGAGCUCUGGGAGCCUGUUUUAAGGCUUUCAAGUCGUGCAUCCAAUAAUUAAAAUUUUGAUAAAUGUUGAGCAAGGAAGGAGGGGCUGAGCAAGCUUUUGCUUCAUCACCCCCAAGCUCCCUCUGUUAGGCUUUCUCAAGCCUGGUUUAAAUUCCACAAAAACAAAGAUAUAGGCAAUACCAGACUAAAUUCAACAGUCAAACACAAAUUAUACUGGUCAGAGUCACCGAGGCUGGCUGGGUUGACUAUGGAACACACAAAUCUGCUCUGUGGUAUGGAACAAAAGUGAGGUUUUACACUAGAAAACAGCAUCUUGCAGAUCAUGCCAAAAAAAUGCCACUGUCUAUGAAACCAGCAGAAAGCAUUUCACAACAUGCCAUUAGAAAUGCUUCAACAGCUAAAAAAGGUUUGCUUCAACGAGGAUUUUCCUAAGUUUAUUUUUUAUGAUCCAGCAAAACACCAGCCAUUCGUGUCAAAGACAAAAUACUUUCAGCUCAUUAUUUCUGCAUGACAGUGUCAUGACCUAAGAGUUAUUUACUCCAGUUAUUCCCCAUAAAUAUUCCAAUUUUAUUUACAGGUUUCUCUAGUCUUUUAGAGAUCUCCUUUAAGUGUUUUCAAAGAUGAAGCUGAAAUUACUUUCUGUAGUGAAUGAGGUAAAUUAAAAAGUGUUUGCUCUACAAUAUCUACAACUGGUGCUUCACUUCACCUUAAUUUCUGUUUUAAAGACCAGGAGUGGCACCAUUUGAGGUGGAGAAGUAAUUUCAAUACUAGAGAACUCUAUUAAAAGACAAAAAUCACACGUCCUCCUGCUUUUAAUACUGCUGAUCCAAUUCCAGCUGACCACCCUUAAAGCACAUUUCUCAUGCUCUGUGGGGUGAUUUGUGAAUUUUAUCCGUACACUUACUAAUUAUUAAGCUUUGACACAGUGUCAGAACUGAAAAGUUUGACUUGAUUUGGCUGUCAGUAAGAAUUAGUUUGGAAUGACAGUGGCUAAAAUGCUGAAUGUGUGCAGGGCUGUUUUCUCCUCUGGACCUUCCCAACUUGCAGCUGUCCUGAGUAAGGAGCCGUCCCUGAGCCAUCACGUGGGCCCAGACAAUUCCCUCCGUGUUAAAUUAUGGAUCACGGAGCCAACACAGCACCAAAGCACUCCCAGCUCUCACACACCUUUCCUGCUCUGCUCAAAUGACCUGGGAAUUCCAGCCUCUCCUUCCUAGGCAGCAGAUCUCAGGAGCUGAACAGGCAUUUAAUUAAAAAAAUAAACCCCUUCAAUUCCAAUGUUUCUGAGCUGCUACUGCACCUGCCCGAGGAGUGUUCACAUCAAAGCCAGCAGGGUAAUGUGAGGUAGUAAAACCAGAUGCUCUCCUGGAGUCAGUCUAUAUUUAAUGGUACCUCAAGAAUUUUAAUUAAUGAGGAAGACAAAAGGAACCGAUGGGACUCUUCAAUGGAGAAAGAGAAAGGAAAAAAAUAAAAUGCAGGUGAUGAAAGCUUGGAUACAGAAUACUGGUUCUUAUCAUGUUUAUUUAUACUCCCAGCUGGGGCAGCAGCCAUUCCCAAAGCUCAGCAGCUGGAAUGCUGCUCAGGCUCAGCUGUGGCUCCAGGCUCCCCUCUGGAAUAGCAUAAAUAAACCACACGUCGUGGGCAGUCGGAUACAUGAUACUUUCAUUCAUUAAGGAUGAUGACCUGCUACAGUUUCCACUUCAUGUCACAAGGCUUAUCCCUAAUUUAUGAAAAUAAAGCAUAUAUGUUUUGUACAUUUUUAUAUAUAUAUGUAUAAAUAUAUAUAUAAAAAAUACACACUGCCAGGCAACUUCACACUCACACACACGCACACAUGGAUAUUGUACAAAGCCACCCAGGAGCAACAAGUCUGAUAUCAAUAUUCUACUUUGUGUACACACACCCUACGU